rnacentral:tmRNA from 1 species
GGGGGUGAUUCUGGAUUCGACCGGAAGUUACCGAGCCCGAGGUGCAUGUCGAGGGUGGAUUGGCCUCGUUAAAAAAUCCGUUAAAAUAGUCGCAAACGACGAAAACUACGCUUUAGCAGCUUAAUAACCUGCCUUAAAGCC